UACGUAGGUGGCAAGCGUUGUUCGGAAUUAUUGGGCGUAAAGGGUGCGUAGGCGGCGCGGUAAGUCGGGUGUGAAAUCUUGGAGCUUAACUCCGAAACUGCAUUCGAUACUGCCGUGCUUGAGGACUGGAGAGGAGACUGGAAUUUACGGUGUAGCGGUGAAACGCGUAGAUAUCGUAAGGAAGACCAGUGGCGAAGGCGGGUCUCUGGACAGUUCCUGACGCUGAGGCACGAAGGUCAGGGGAGCAAACGGG
rnacentral:rRNA from 1 species